rnacentral:hammerhead_ribozyme from 1 species
AUCCAGCUGACGAUUCCCAAAUAGGACGAAAUGAGAGUCGAACUGGAU